UACGUAGGGGGCUAGCGUUGUCCGGAAUCAUUGGGCGUAAAGAGCGUGUAGGCGGUCCGGUAAGUCCGCUGUGAAAGUCGGGGGCUCAACCCUCGAAUGCCGGUGGAUACUGUCGGGCUAGAGUGCGGAAGAGGCGAGUGGAAUUCCUGGUGUAGCGGUGAAAUGCGCAGAUAUCAGGAGGAACACCAAUUGCGAAGGCAGCUCGCUGGGACGUAACUGACGCUGAGACGCGAAAGCGUGGGGAUCAAACAGG
rnacentral:rRNA from 1 species